rnacentral:tRNA from 1 species
AUUUAAAUAGUUUAUUUUAGAAUAAUAAUUUGUGGUGUUAUAGGAGUAUAAUAUAUACUUUGAAUC